UGUAUGUGUGCGUGUGUGUUUCAGGCUUAUUAUCUGCAACAGAUUUAUUUAGGCUUAAUUUACUAGUCUCAGCCUCUUCCGUUAAUUUGAAUUACGUCUGCAUGUGUACAUGAUGGCUCUGUGAGUCGAGUAUUUACCUAACUCUUUGUACCUACUUUGUUUUUAACACAUUAGAAAAUAAUGGGAAUCUUAGCUGCCUCUUUUUUAUUUGUUUGUAAUUUGUUUUAUAACAAUCGCAUAAAAAUACAGAGCAGCCGUUGAAGGAGGGAGCGAACCGUUGGUCAGAAUCAAACGCAUGCGCUCAAAACGAACGGUUUUCUCUGCCGAAACCUUUAAAUGCUUCUGUUGAUUUAUUAUGUAACCCGUUCUUUCAGAAACAUUUUGGAUCAACGUUAUGUAUGAAUAUGCAUACUUUCCAUCAGAUUUUGGCGGAUAUGCAGAUACAUAUGGAUAUCUAGAUUCAGUAAGAUGGCGAGCGAAAAGAAAACAACUCAAGACACGUGUGACGAAGAGCAAAAAGCCCAAAAGACACAGUUGAUGAAACCUCCCCCUGGUCGCAGCAACAGGAUAGAAAGAGUUCUUCAUAGACGUAUGGAGCAAAAGCAUUCCCAGAUGUCAAGGACGGUGGGGAACGCAUCAUUUGAGUUCUUCUGUGGUACAUUUGAUGAUUUGGGAAAAGAAAAUGAAGAACAUCAACAUAAGAAG